rnacentral:rRNA from 1 species
AAUCAACGCUGGCGGCGUGCCUAACACAUGCAAGUCGAGCGCGAAAGUGGAGCAAUCCAUGAGUAGAGUGGCAAACGGGUGAGUAACGCGUGGGUGACCUGCCUUCGAGCGGGGGAUAACGUUCCGAAAGGGACGCUAAUACCGCAUGACAUCCUGCCUUUGAAGAGGCGGAGAUCAAAGCCGGGGAUCGCAAGACCUGGCGCUCGAUGAGGGGCCCGCGUCUGAUUAGCUAGUUGGUGGGGUAACGGCUCACCAAGGCAUCGAUCAGUAUCCGGCCUGAGAGGGCGGACGGACACACUGGGACUGAGACACGGCCCAGACUCCUACGGGAGGCAGCAGUGGGGAAUUGUUCGCAAUGGGCGCAAGCCUGACGACGCAACGCCGCGUGGAGGAUGAAGACCUUCGGGUCGUAAACUCCUUUCGAUCGAGACGAACGGUUUCCGGGUAAACAAUCCGGAAGAGUGACGGUACCGAGAGAAGAAGCCCCGGCUAACUCCGUGCCAGCAGCCGCGGUAAUACGGGGGGGGCAAGCGUUGUUCGGAAUUACUGGGCGUAAAGGGCUCGUAAGCGGACAACUAAGUCAGACGUGAAAUCCCUC